CAUUUGCCAUCAUGAACUUUGGAACCAUGUCCACAUUAUAAUCUCUGCUGGAACCUAAAUGUGCUGGGGGACUAUCACUUCCUCUAAACCUUUUCCAUAGCUGGAUAAGAUUGAGUGAGCUUGAUUCCCCUCCAUAAUAAUCAUUCCUGUCCAUGUGCAAGACCUUGAGACCGUCGACGGAGAGGAGGCCGCUGAGGAUGCACUCCUUGAGGCCGGUGCCGAGCACGAUGACGUCAUACUCUUCAUCCAUGGCGGAUUGAGAGCAGCUAAGAAGAGAGAGAGAGAGAAGGGCUGAAAAAUGAGGUGGGUCGAUCCGAG
rnacentral:misc_RNA from 1 species